GCUACAUUGUCAAUGAAGAGGGCUUCAAUUGAGGAGUUUCUUGCCGAUCCACACCUUUAUGUUAGCCAAAUUGAUGUUGUCCCCAGCUGAACUUUAAGCAGGGAGUUUUGGAAUCCGCCCUCACCUUCCUUUUAUUUGGAGCUGGGAGAAAGUCAGCUGGGA